GGCUGCACCUACAGCAUGUGGAAAUUCCCAGGCCAGGGGUCAAAUUGGAGCUGCAGCUGCCAGCCUAUGCCAUAGCCACAGCAACACCAGAUCCAAGCCACAUCUGUGACCCAAACACCACAGCUCACCUCAAAGCUGGAACCUUAAUCCACUAAGUGAGGCCAGGGAUUGAACCCAAAUCGUCAUGGAUAUGAGUCAGGUUCUUAAACUUCUGAGGCCAGUAAGUUGUUACCAAUUUUUCACUCUUUAAAAACAAGGCUUACAGAUCUCUAUGUAUUUUGUGCAUAAGUAAGUACUUCUAUAAGAUAGAUGCCAGAUGAGAAAUUGUUGAUCAGAGAGACAUUCGUAUUUCUAAUUUUAAUAAAUAUUUACCAAUUUUCCCUCCAAUGGGUUAUUAAUUUUCACCACAGCUUUAAGAAUAUAAAAUAAUUUUUAAUCUCCUGAGAAAAUCACAAUUAAAAACAAAAACCAGGAUUUCAUAAAAUGAGUAUAAAUCCUGUACUAUAUUGUGGCAUUCCAAAAUUUAGUGUGACCAUGAUUCCUAAGUCAGUCAGCAUCAUUGUUUGCCAUAACAGGCGUUAAGUGUGUACUUCUGAACUCAGGAAGAAUUCCUAGAUAAAGUUUUCUUAAAAUGCCAUUACAAGAGUUCCCAUUGUGGUGCAGUGGAAACGAAUCUGACUAGUACCCAUGAGGAUGUGGAUUUGAUCCUUGGUCUCACCCAGUGGGUUAAGGAUCCGGCAUUGCUGAGAGCUGUGGUGUAGAUCACAGACAUGAUUCGGAUCUGGCGUUGCUGUGGCUGUGGUGUUAAAAAAAUAAAACAAAAAUUUAAAAAGCAAAAAAAAAUUAAAAAAAUAAAACGCUCUUCCAAAAUUAGAUUUGCCUUACCAAAUUAGAGUCUCUGUUGCCAUCUGGUGGCAAUUCUCCAUUAGUGACACUUCCUCUGACAAGAUUUCAGAGAAGUCAUUCUUUCUACAGUUACUUUGUAUAAGGCGUUAACUAUUUCAUCAUUCAUGAUUACUAAAUCCAUUUUUAAUUAUAAAAUAUCAUGUUACUUUUAAAUUCUUUCAGUUUUUUGAGACGAUUAGCUGGCAAUACAAAUAAGUACCAAAAAUAUAGAGGCACAUUUUUUAAAAAAGACUCUUGUAUAUAUGAGGUGUCUUCUGGUAACACACUUUUGUUUCCAUGGAAAGCAAAGCAUACGAAAAUUGUCUUUUUUAUGUUAUUUACCCUCUCAUAAUCUUCUCCACUAAAAAAAAAAA
rnacentral:lncRNA from 1 species